AGCCUAAUAGCUUUGUAGAGUCCAACUACAACUCUAACCUUAUGAAACUGAAAUUGAUCCGUGUGAAAUGCCAAGGCAUAUCCUUCAUAUUUCGUGACUUUUCAAAAUAAAUCCUAUCUAAGCUUUCUCACAUCACAUCAAAGGCCUAGCUCACCUAGGCUUCUUAUCUCAUCAUCAAAAUCCAUUAGUGACUUUUAAACCCAUCUGACAACAUCAUCAUUAUGUAAAAAGGCCUAGUCUACCUAGGCUUGUCUUAUCAUCACCCAAAGCCAUCAUCUCCAAUCCAAAGUCGUCACUUCAAGUCAAAGACUCCCAAAAGAGACGAUGUCCAUUUCAAACUAUACUUCCCUUCAAACGGCACCAUGAUUAUCACUUUCGAUGAUAAUCAUCACCAACUCUUUGCUUGGUCAAGUUCCUACUUCAUCCAUUUUCAUCCAUGCAGAACAUGUUAAUCCCUUUUAAGUGUCUUUGUGCUGAUCACUCCACACAUGCACGAAUUGCAUGGAAAGUCUCUCACCCAUACGCAUAUGCAUCACGCAUGGAAGAAAAUCUGUAAUGCCUUGGACUACAAAUCAAACCAGCUAGAUUUUAAGAUAAAACCAAGUCUAAAAAACUUUAUAUAUUAUUAAGGGAUAUUAUCAUGACCAAAAAAAAAUCACAAUAUUAUUCCUUAAUAAUAAAUAAAAAUCAUCCCGACUAAGCCAUCUAACGGUUUGAACUUCACUCAAUCAAUGGCCUCGAUCGUUCGGGUUGAUUGUGUAUUUUUGGGUCCAAACAACUUUCUAUCAAAACUCUUCUCUCACUCUCCUACCCUCCCUCUUCUCAUCAGAUCUUCCAUCGUCUAUGACCAAAGACGAGAAAUGUGACGGUGAUCAAAGAAAAGAAAGAGUAAACAUGGAGCGAAAACUAAUCAAGAAAAAUAUGGAGGCAACGUGUGGAUUCUAGGGUAUAAAACGACAAAAUUACCCUCGAGACAUAACGAAACUUCUACACUCAAGCAGCGGACAAUCAUGGCUCAAUCAAGGUCAAAAGUGAUCAAAAUAGGUAUUUAUUCAAAACCUAUUUCAUCCAUCCUCAUCAAAUCUCCGUAACUCCCAAAUUAUUUCUCCUAAAUUAUAUUAAUUAGCUAAUUAAUUGAUAUUAAUUUAUUAAUCAUCUAAUUAAUUGUAAAUUACACCCAAAAAACCACUAAAGUGGGUAAUUCCCAUCUCUCCCUAAGGGGCCGGCCACACCCCUAUAAAUACCACCCCAUUUUCUCCAAAAACCUAAGUUGAAUCCUCUUGCAAAAUUCUCUAAAUUCUCAAAACACAUUUCCCUCAAAAUUCUAACUUUGGCACCGGAGAUUCUUCGGCCAAAGCCCCCUACCCAUUAAUCGUGGGCGCGUGAGGCUCUUGGCCUUGACCUAAGGUGUUAAUUGUUUUAUAGGUGCAAUUUUGUCCAAGAAGAAGAAUGCGGAAAUUUGUAUCCACAAACUAGUGCUUUCAUUAAGAGUCAUGAUUCACACGCUCGAAGAAGACUCUCGCAUUCAAGGUUUCUAAUUUUUUUUGUUCAUUUGUAGAUUUUUCGUACUUUCUCAUUCCUAUAAUUUUUUAUACAAAAAUUCUUUGAAUAAACAUAAUAGAAAAGUACAAUGACAAGAAAUGCAGAAACCACGACGAACGGAACUUCCUACGUUCAAGGAUUUGGACCACGAUGAUCCGUAAGGCUCAACACGACGAUGAAUAGAGUGGCACCACCCA
rnacentral:lncRNA from 1 species